GACGAACGCUGGCGGCGUGCUUAACACAUGCAAGUCGAACGGAAAGGCCCUGCUUGCUGGGUACUCGAGUGGCGAACGGGUGAGUAACACGUGGGUGAUCUGCCCUGCACUUCGGGAUAAGCCUGGGAGACUGGGUCUAAUACCGGAUAGGAGCCAUUUUUAGUGUGUUGGUUGGAAAGUUUUUUCGGUGUAGGAUGAGCUCGCGGCCUAUCAGCUUGUUGGGGGGGUAAUGGCCUACCAAGGCGGCGACGGGUAGCCGGCCUGAGAGGGUGGACGGCCACACUGAGACUGAGAGACGGCCCAGACUCCGACGGGAGGCAGCAGGGGGGAAUAUUGCACAAGGGGCGCAAGCCUGAUGCAGCGACGCCGCGUGGGGGAUGACCGCCUUCGGGUUGUAAACUCCUUUCGCUAGGGACGAAGCUUUUUGUGACGGUACCUAGAGAAGAAGCACCGGCUAACUACGUG
rnacentral:rRNA from 1 species